rnacentral:pre_miRNA from 1 species
UUUGUACUCCCUCCGUCCCAAAAUUCUUGUCUUAAAUUUUUCUAAAUAUGGAUGUAUCUAGUUACAUUUUAGUGUUAGAUACAUCUGUAUCUAAACAAAUGUAAGACAAGAAUUUUGGGAUGGAGGGAAUACUAC